UAUAAAAAAACGUAUAUAAAAUCAACAAUAACAGGCAUUGAUUAUUAUUUGUUGUUGUACUUGUGUCCAAUAAACUUCAGAAUCAAUGACACUUGGUAAAUUAACAUUAUAAAAACUAGAUAGCUGUGGUAAAACGUAAGUUGAAUUUAGCAAAGCUACGUAAAUCAGUUAGUUAUUUCUAUCUCUAAUAAAAUGUUUAUGACAUAUAAAAAAAAUUUAACAAGCGCCAUCAAUGACAAAAAGAAGCCCUAAAUUGUAUAAAAUUUGCCCUGUGAAUACGGGUGCGGGUGCUGGUUUCACUCUCUAUUUUGCUGUAUUUCAUAUUUUCAUUUGCUUUCAUUCUGCUGACUUGUGCUGACUGCUGCUGACCACUGCUGACUGCUGUCAUUCUGAUUAAUAACUCUGACCUGCUCUGACAAACUCUGACUGUUAUACUUAUAUAACUAUACAAACUUAUAACAAAUCUAAGUACAAUUCUGACUGGUAAUAAAGAUGAAUACUCGUCUCGCUAGUCUCCAAAAGUUCCAAAUGCCCUUGUUGAUAAUCUGUGGGAUCUGUGGGACUUGUGGGGCGUACAAACUAAUAGAACGGCACUUGGAAAACCGAGGAAAGAGGGGAGAAGCCAAAUGGAACGAAAGACUCGGAAGACCCGUAAAAAAAGAGUGAUUAUAUUGAAAAAAAAAUAUUCUUAUCAUUAAAAAAUUAUGUAAUUUAAUUCAAUAAAAAUAUAAAAACAAUAUUAAUUAA